GAUGAACGCUGGUGGCGUGCCUAAUACAUGCAAGUCGGGCGAAUGGAUUAAGAGCUUGCUCUUAUGAAGUUAGCGGCGGACGGGUGAGUAACACGUGGGUAACCUGCCCAUAAGACUGGGAUAACUCCGGGAAACCGGGGCUAAUACCGGAUAAUAUUUUGAACUGCAUGGUUCAAAAUUGAAAGGCGGCUUCGGCUGUCACUUAUGGAUGGACCCGCGUCGCAUUAGCUAGUUGGUGAGGUAACGGCUCACCAAGGCAACGAUGCGUAGCCGACCUGAGAGGGUGAUCGGCCGAACUGGGACUGAGACACGGCCCAGACUCCUACGGGAGGCAGCAGUAGGGAAUCUUCCGCGAUGGACGAAAGUCUGACGGAGCAACGCCGCGUGAGUGAUGAAGGCUUUCGGGUCGUAAAACUCUGUUGUUAGGGAAGAACAAGUGCUAGUUGAAUAAGCUGGCACCUUGACGGUACCUAACCAGAAAGCCACGGCUAACUACGUGCCAGCCGCCGCCGUAA
rnacentral:rRNA from 1 species